rnacentral:rRNA from 1 species
AUACGUAGGGGGCGAGCGUUGUCCGGAGUGAUUGGGCGUAAAGGGCGCGUAGGCGGCGCGGUAAGUCUGGAGUGAAAGUCCUGCUUUCAAGGUGGGAAUUGCUUUGGAUACUGCCGCGCUUGAGUGCAGGAGAGGUUAUCGGAAUUCCCGGUGUAGCGGUGAAAUGCGUAGAGAUCGGGAGGAACACCAGUGGCGAAGGCGGGUAACUGGACUGCAACUGACGCUGAGGCGCGAAAGUGUGGGGAGCAAACAGGAUUAGAUACCCUGGUAGUCCACACUGUAAACGAUGAAUGCUAGGUGUAAGAGGUAUCGACCCCUUUUGUGCCGGAGUCAACACAAUAAGCAUUCCGCCUGGGGAGUACGGCCGCAAGGUUGAAACUCAAAGGAAUUGACGGGG